CUGUGGUCAUAUCAUAUUGAAACACCAGUUCUCAUAUGAUCACUGAAGUUAAGCAACAUCGAACAUGGUCAGUCCCUAGAUGGUUGACCACUUGGGAAUACCAUGUGCUGUAAG